rnacentral:rRNA from 1 species
UACGUAGGUGGCAAGCGUUGUCCGGAUUUAUUGGGUUUAAAGGGUGCGUAGGCGGCUUUGUAAGUCAGUGGUGAAAUAUGGCAGCUUAACUGUCAAGGUGCCAUUGAUACUGCGGAGCUUGAGUACAGAUGAGGUAGGCGGAAUUGACGGUGUAGCGGUGAAAUGCUUAGAUAUCGUCAAGAACACCUAUAGCGAAGGCAGCUUACUAGGCUGUAACUGACGCUGAGGCACGAAAGUGUGGGGAGCGAACAGG